rnacentral:rRNA from 1 species
UUAGAGUUUGAUCCUGGCUCAAGAUAAACGCUGGCGGCGUGCAUAACACAUUCAAGUCGAACGGAGUUAGAAGGAAGCUUGCUUCUUUCUAACUUAGUGGCGGACGGGUGAGUAACGCGUGAGCAACCUGCCUGUUAGAGUGGAAUAACGUCUGGAAACGGACGCUAAUACCGCAUAACGCACAGACUCCGCAUGGGGAUUGUGCCAAAGAUUUUAUCGCUAACAGAUGGGCUCGCGUCCGAUUAGGUAGUUGGUGGGGUAAUGGCUCACCAAGCCAACGAUCGGUAGCCGGACUGAGAGGUUGAACGGCCACAUUGGAACUGAGAAACGGUCCAGACUCCUACGGGAGGCAGCAGUGGGGAAUAUUGGGCAAUGGGCGCAAGCCUGACCCAGCGACGCCGCGUGAGGGAAGACGGUCUUCGGAUUGUAAACCUCUUUCAGCAGGGAAGACACAAGGACGGUACCUGCAGAAGAAGCCACGGCUAACUACGUGCCAGCAGCCGCGGUAAUACGUAGGUGGCGAGCGUUAUCCGGAAUUACUGGGUGUAAAGGGUGUGUAGGCGGGGUAGUAAGUCAGAUGUGAAAAUCAUGGGCUCAACCCAUGACCUGCGUCUGAAACUACUACUCUUGAGUGUGGGAGAGGUAAAUGGAAUUCCCGGUGUAGCGGUGGAAUGCGUAGAUAUCGGGAGGAACACCAGUGGCGAAGGCGAUUUACUGGACCACAACUGACGCUGAGACACGAAAGCGUGGGGAGCAAACAGGAUUAGAUACCCUGGUAGUCCACGCCGUAAACGCUGAUUAAUAGGUGUAGGGGGUAUCGACUCCCUCUGUGCCGCAGUUAACGCAAUAAGUAAUCCACCUGGGGAGUACGGCCGCAAGGUUAAAACUCAAAGGAAUUGACGGGGGCCCGCACAAGCAGUGGAGUAUGUGGUUUAAUUCGAAGCAACGCGAAGAACCUUACCAGGGCUUGACAUCCUCUGAACGGUGUAGAGAUACACUUUCCCUUCGGGGCAGAGAGACAGGUGGUGCAUGGUUGUCGUCAGCUCGUGUCGUGAGAUGUUCGGUUAAGUCCGGCAACGAGCGCAACCCCUAUUGUUAGUUGCCAUCAUUCAGUUGGGCACUCUAGCGAGACUGCCGUUGACAAAACGGAGGAAGGUGGGGACGACGUCAAAUCAUCAUGCCCCUUAUGUCCUGGGCUACACACGUACUACAAUGGUAACAACAGCGAGAAGCCAGACCGCGAGGUUGAGCGGAUCUUGAAAUGUUAUCUCAGCUCAGAUUGCGGGCUGCAACUCGCCUGCAUGAAGUAGGAAUUGCUAGUAAUGGCAGGUCAGCAUACUGCCGUGAAUACGUUCCCGGGCCUUGUACACACGCGCCCGUCA